rnacentral:rRNA from 1 species
UACGUAGGGAGCAAGCGUUGUCCGGAAUCAUUGGGCGUAAAGCGCGCGUAGGUGGCCUCAUAAGUCCGCUGUGAAAGUCAAAGGCUCAACCUUUGAAAGCCGGUGGAUACUGUGAGGCUAGAGUACGGAAGAGGCGAGUGGAAUUCCUGGUGUAGCGGUGGAAUGCGCAGAUACCAGGAGGAACACCGAUGGCGAAGGCAGGUCACUGGGCCGCAACUGACGCUGAGGAGCGAAAGCAUGGGGAGCGAACAGG